GAUGGUCGCGGGAGCCUUUGGGCUCACGAGGAAAGUCCGGACUCCAUAGAGCACCGUAGCAGCUAACGGCUGCCUGCCGCAAGGUACGGAUUAGAGCAACAGAGACGAGCCGACUUCGGGUCGGGUGAAACGGGCAAUCUCUACGGGGAGCAACACUAAAUAGACAAUCGAUGAUCCUGCUCGGGGAGAUUGCGGGUAAGUGGCUUGAGCCAUGGUGUGAAUCAUGGCCUAGAUGAAUGAUCGUCGGCCGUGCGUCAGCACGGAACAUAAUCCGGCUUAUCGGCGGGCUUU
rnacentral:RNase_P_RNA from 1 species